UAUCCACCCCACCCCAUGUUCUCUGUGUCUCUAUCUCUCGCACCAUUCUUUCUCUCAUCGGCGCAACCAGCUCGCCCGCGUACUGGUCCUCUUGCCGGAGCCACCAGCCGCGGGUCCUCCGGCCGGCGAACCCUCCGCCACCGCCGGCAGACCUCCGGCCUCCCCUUCCUCUGCUUUGCCUCCUUCGGCACCCUUCUUCUCCCGCUGCAACGCGCCACAAGGAACCAGCGGGGCAGACGGCGCGAGCAGGGCACGGCCGCUGCGGGCCUGUGCGGGCAGGGCGGCCAGCACGGGAGGCCGCUACGAGCGACGCGCAGGCGGGCGGCGGUAGCAGGGCGCGGGCGGCACGAGCAGGGCAUUGCCGGCGCGGACAGGGCGGCCAGUGUCCUCCGUUCGACUCCGAUUGCUGCUGUGGACACGACCAACAAACAUGAAACUAAUGAUGAACGUACGGACAUGAAUUGGACACAAACACGAAACGGACAGACACGAAUGACGAACAGCGGCGUGGAUUUUGUAGCGCGUUAUUUUUAUUUUUUUAAUUUUAAUCCCAUUUUUUGACGUCUGUUGUACCUCGGCUGACGGCAAAGACUGCCGUUAGCCACCUAACAGACUAACAACGAAUUUAUUGCUGUCCGCUUUCUUUGCUGUCCGCUUCAGAAAUCAAACGGCAAAGAAGGUCGUUACCGAUCCUAUCAUUGCCGGCGCCUUUUGCCGUCCGCCAUCCAUGCCUUUGCCGUCUGGCGGACGGCAAAGUAGCUGAUUCCUGUAGUGUCCCUUCCGAGAGUCAACACGCUCUGUGCUAUGAGUACUGGCUCUACUCCUACCGUAGAGCGUCACGUACCACAUUCCGUGAGCAUUAUUGAGGAUAUUCAGACUCAACUGAUUGACACCGAGAAAUAACGAGAUGAAAACUGGGCCAAGCUGAAGGCACAAGAUAAUCUAGUGAAGUCUUUACAACAUAUGGUGGCCAAUCUUUAUUCCAUGUAAGGCCAACCAGUGCCAGAGAUGCCACCGACGCCAGAGUGGAACAUUUUGAGUUUCAUUCAAACUAUUUCUAUCACCAUUUUCGGCAUUACCAUAUGCAUUCAUCUCACUAUUGGGUCAAUCCAUCACAGCUGAACCCAUCACAAGGGUCGGACAAUGUUCCGGUAGUUCCACCUCAAGUUGGUGGAGUUGGGGCAGCAAAGGGAAUGAUGCCUUCUAAUGUUAAUGUUAUCACUCCGGUUGAUGGAGUUGGGGCAGCAAACGGAAUGAUGCCUUCUAAUGUUGGUGUUAUCACUCCGAUCUCCAAAAUCGCGUGAACUUCAUGUUAUGUUAUGUUUGAAACUGUUCCUUGUAUGUUGAGAACUCUUGCAUCUUGAGACUUGUAAAUUUGUGGUCUAUUGCUUUUAUGCACUAUUGCUUUUAUGUGAAAUGUUUUUCAGAAUCAAUCAUUGCUUCUUUUGUUCAGUGAUGCCUAUAUGUGACAUGUUCUAUGUGUGAUGAA